AUCACGCUGGCGGAAUGCUUUACACACGCAAGUCGAACGGCAGCACGGACUUCGGUCUGGUGGCGAGUGGCGAACGGGUGAGUAAUGCAUCGGAACGUGCCCAAUCGUGGGGGAUAACGUAGCGAAAGUUACGCUAAUACCGCAUACGAUCUAAGGAUGAAAGCGGGGUGAUCGCAAGACCUCGCGCGAAUGGAGCGGCCGAUGUUACGAUUAGGUAGUUGGUGGGGUAAAGGCUCACCAAGCCGACGAUCUAUAGCUGGUCUGAGAGGAUGAUCAGACCACAACUGGGACUGAGACACAGGCCCAGACUCCUACGGGAGCGCAGCAGAUGGGGAAUUAUUAGGACAAUGGUGCGAAAGCCAUGAUCCAGCCAUUCCGCGUGCAGGAUGAAGGCCCAUCCGAGGUCGUAAACUGCUUUUGUACGGAACGAAAAGGUCCUGAUUAAUACCUGCGGGACUCAUGACGGUACUGUACAGAAUAAGACACCAGGACUAACUACGUGACCAACAGCACAGAAGGUAAUAACGAUAGGGUGCAAAGCGUCAAAUCGGAAUUACCU
rnacentral:rRNA from 1 species